rnacentral:rRNA from 1 species
CGGCGUGCCUAACACAUGCAAGUCGAACGCCCGGCACUCGGCACUCAACUGAUCGGGAAGGAACCCUAAAAGGGGCGGUUCCGAUGAGCUGAGUGCCGAGAGACCGGGAGUGGCGGACGGGUGAGUAACGCGUGGGCAACCUACCCUUUAGACCGGGAUAACACUGGGAAACCGGGGCUAAUACCGGAUAAACUUUAGAUAUUGCAUAAUAACUAAAGCAAAUGUGAGCGUAAGCUUGCGCUAAAGGAUGGGCCCGCGUCCCAUUAGCUAGUAGGUGAGGUAACAGCUCACCUAGGCGACGAUGGGUAGCCGGCCUGAGAGGGCGGACGGCCACACUGGGACUGAGACACGGCCCAGACUCCUACGGGAGGCAGCAGUGGGGAAUUUUGGACAAUGGGCGCAAGCCUGAUCCAGCCAUGCCGCGUGCAGGAUGAAGGCCUUCGGGUUGUAAACUGCUUUUGUACGGAACGAAAAGACUCUUUCUAAUAAAGAGGGUCCAUGACGGUACCGUAAGAAUAAGCACCGGCUAACUACGUG